UGUUCGGCUGAUACACAGACAACGACAAUUAUUGUCAUUUACAAACCUGAAAACACACGUCUUUCUCCACUGGCGAGCUCAUACUGCCGUAGCUCCACUAUUUCUGUCAACUGUUCGGCGACAGGGCAUCCGCAGGUGAACCAGUACUCGCUGUAUCUAAACAGCCGUCACUUGUCAAGUAGAAUGGACGGAGUCUUUAAAGACAUUUUACUUGACACCCUGGGCGAGCAGCUGUUUACUUGUAUCCCAAGCAACACUGUUGGAGCUGGACAAAAUACCACUGCUAGAACAAUUGUGCAAGAAUUCCACUCGUCCGUAUCCAUUGCGCCUGCGCGUACCAUCACAACUAGCGAGGGGUCGUACGUGCAGAUGACGUGCAGCGCUAGUGCUGUUGAUCCGUCAAAUAUCAACUGGGUCAAAGAUGGCGUCCUUCAA